UCCCUAGGUGUAAAGCCUUGAGCUGAGGGCUGGUAAUGGACUUGGCUGGGAAUCUUGUGUCUGUGGUACCAUGCUAGCUCACUUAGGAGCGCAGAUGAUUCCCAUGGUUGGGGACCAAAAAGACAUAGUUUGUGGGUCCAGGUAAGCAGUCACUGGCUGUAAACGCAAAAACUCCAGAAAGUGCCGCCAUCCUUGAGAAAAUCUGCCUUCAGACUGACCAACGGGCUGACUGAUCCUUUCCUGAAAGGGAAGUGGGAAACUUUUGCCAGAGGACAAACUGCAGAAGAAGCCAAGAGUCAUCUUUGCUCAGGUUUCUACUGGAAUGAAUUAUUCAGAGGGUCAUUCUAGGUGCUGUAGUGUGAACAGACCACGGGAAGAAACAGCAGACGUGGUUGGGUGGCUCCCGUGUCAUCCACGUGAGGGACCACGCAGCUCAGAGAGAACAGUGUGCAUCCUUGCUGCUCAAAGUAUGGGCCACAGACCAGCGGUAGCUGUAGUGUUUGGGGCUGAGACCCUUCUGAGACCUUCUGAAUCAGGAUCUGCCUUGUAACAAGAUACGUAGGGGGCUGUGGGAAAGACUGACAAGGUCAUAAUCACGGCAAAGAUAGAGGCUACAGUGCUUCGGUGAUGGGCGAUGUGGGAGUCUUGAGUCCCUAUUCAUGUGACUUCCUCGAGAAGUCCCCAUUCUCUGAUCUCAACACACCAAUUCCAUGCUAUGACGUAUUGCUGCUUCAUCCUUUGGACUUAGAUUUGGUGGACCCAACAA